rnacentral:lncRNA from 1 species
UCUGAUUUCCACUCCAGCUUCACGGAGGAAUUACAGAAUGGUGCCAGCAGAAGCACUCCAAAAAGCCAGCCUCUUCAGAGAUAGACCACAGCCCCUGAGCACUGCGAGAGAUGGGCUGCAGGAUCAUUAUAGAUAAUAAGGAACUGGCGAAGGAAGAAAAGUAGACAUGAUACAGGUCGUGGUGGUAAACCCCCAUUAGUAACAUCAUAGUGCAAACUUUUUCAUUUACAUGUUGGUGUUUACAUACAAUGUCUAUACAUUAAAUUAAGUCACGAUGUAUACAAUGUAUAGACUUCUGAAUAACCUUCUUUGGUUCAGCCAAUGCUCUUCCCCAUUUUCCUCUGUUUUUUUUAUACAUUUUCAGCUUGUCUACUAUUUGGGAUCAUAGUCUAAAUUCCCCAGUGUUUUCAUUCUAAGUUUUCAUUCUAAUCCAGAAACAAUGUGUGUGUGUGUGUGUGUGUGUGUGUGUGUGUGUGUGUGUGUGUGUGUGUGUGUGUGGUGGGGA